GCGGGUAUAGCCAAGUGGUAAAGGCAAUGGUUUGUGAUACCAUGAUUCACGAGUUCAAGUCUCGUUAUUCGCC
rnacentral:tRNA from 1 species